GUGGGGAAUAUUGGACAAUGGGCGAAAGCCUGAUCCAGCCAUGCCGCGUGUGUGAAGAAGGUCUUCGGAUUGUAAAGCACUUUAAGUUGGGAGGAAGGGCAGUAAGUUAAUACCUUGCUGUUUUGACGUUACCAACAGAAUAAGCACCGGCUAACUUCGUGCCAGCAGCCGCGGUAAUACGAAGGGUGCAAGCGUUAAUCGGAAUUACUGGGCGUAAAGCGCGCGUAGGUGGUUCAGCAAGUUGAAGGUGAAAUCCCCGGGCUCAACCUGGGAACUGCCUCCAAAACUACUGAGCUAGAGUACGGUAGAGGGUAGUGGAAUUUCCUGUGUAGCGGUGAAAUGCGUAGAUAUAGGAAGGAACACCAGUGGCGAAGGCGACUACCUGGACUGAUACUGACACUGAGGUGCGAAAGCGUGGGGAGCAAACAGGAUUAGAAACCCUUGUAGUCA
rnacentral:rRNA from 1 species